rnacentral:rRNA from 1 species
GACGUUGGGAAAGCGAGCGGCGGAUGGGUGAGUAACACGUGGGGAACCUGCCCCUAAGUCUGGGAUACCAUUUGGAAACAGGUGCUAAUACCGGAUAAUAAAGCAGAUCGCAUGAUCAGCUUUUGAAAGGCGGCGUAAGCUGUCGCUAAGGGAUGGCCCCGCGGUGCAUUAGCUAGUUGGUAAGGUAACGGCUUACCAAGGCGACGAUGCAUAGCCGAGUUGAGAGACUGAUCGGCCACAUUGGGACUGAGACACGGCCCAAACUCCUACGGGAGGCAGCAGUAGGGAAUCUUCCACAAUGGACGCAAGUCUGAUGGAGCAACGCCGCGUGAGUGAAGAAGGUUUUCGGAUCGUAAAGCUCUGUUGUUGGUGAAGAAGGAUAGAGGUAGUAACUGGCCUUUAUUUGACGGUAAUCAACCAGAAAGUCACGGCUAACUACGUGCCAGCAGCCGCGGUAAUACGUAGGUGGCAAGCGUUGUCCGGAUUUAUUGGGCGUAAAGCGAGCGCAGGCGGAAAAAUAAGUCUAAUGUGAAAGCCCUCGGCUUAACCGAGGAACUGCAUCGGAAACUGUUUUUCUUGAGUGCAGAAGAGGAGAGUGGAACUCCAUGUGUAGCGGUGGAAUGCGUAGAUAUAUGGAAGAACACCAGUGGCGAAGGCGGCUCUCUGGUCUGCAACUGACGCUGAGGCUCGAAAGCAUGGGUAGCGAACAGGAUUAGAUACCCUGGUAGUCCAUGCCGUAAACGAUGAGUGCUAAGUGUUGGGAGGUUUCCGCCUCUCAGUGCUGCAGCUAACGCAUUAAGCACUCCGCCUGGGGAGUACGACCGCAAGGUUGAAACUCAAAGGAAUUGACGGGGGCCC